rnacentral:pre_miRNA from 1 species
AAAAAGGCAAACCCUGGGUUUGCGUGUCCAACUUUGACUGUCCGUCUUAUAUGAAAUUUUUUUAUAAUUCGUAUUUUCAUUGUUGUUAGAUGAUAAAACAUGAUUAAUAUUUUAUGCGUGACUUGUCCUUUUAUUUUCUUCAAAAAUUUUUCAAAUAAGACGGACGGUUAAACAUUGGGCACGGAAACCAAGGUUUAUCUUUUU